UACGGAGGGUGCAAGCGUUGCUCGGAAUUAUUGGGCGUAAAGGGUAGGUAGGUGGUCUUAUUUGUCUAGGGUGAAAGCCUUGAGCUUAACUCAAGAAGUGCCCUAGAAACGGUAAGACUAGAGUCCUGGAGAGGGUCGUGGAAUUCCCGGUGUAGCGGUGAAAUGCGUAGAGAUCGGGAGGAACACCAGAGGCGAAAGCGGCGACCUGGACAGGAACUGACACUCAACUACGAAAGCGUGGGGAGCAAACAGG
rnacentral:rRNA from 1 species